UGGGGAAUUUUGGACAAUGGGGGCAACCCUGAUCCAGCAAUGCCGCGUGAGUGAAGAAGGCCUUCGGGUUGUAAAGCUCUUUUGUCAGGGAAGAAACGGUAGUAGCGAAUAACUACUACUAAUGACGGUACCUGAAGAAUAAGCACCGGCUAACUACGUGCCAGCAGCCGCGGUAAUACGUAGGGUGCAAGCGUUAAUCGGAAUUACUGGGCGUAAAGCGUGCGCAGGCGGUUGUGUAAGUCAGAUGUGAAAUCCCCGGGCUCAACCUGGGAAUUGCAUUUGAGACUGCACGGCUAGAGUGUGUCAGAGGGGGGUAGAAUUCCACGUGUAGCAGUGAAAUGCGUAGAUAUGUGGAGGAAUACCGAUGGCGAAGGCAGCCCCCUGGGAUAACACUGACGCUCAUGCACGAAAGCGUGGGGAGCAAACAGGAUUAGAUACCCCGGUAG
rnacentral:rRNA from 1 species